UACGUAGGGGGCAAGCGUUGUCCGGAUUUAUUGGGCGUAAAGAGCGUGUAGGCGGCUAGGUAGGUCCGUUGUGAAAACUCGAGGCUCAACCUCGAGACGUCGGCGGAAACCAUCUGGCUAGAGUCCGGAAGAGGAGAGUGGAAUUCCUGGUGUAGCGGUGAAAUGCGCAGAUAUCAGGAAGAACACCGAUAGCGAAGGCAGCUUGCUACACAGUCAUUGACACUGAGGCACGAAAGCGUGGGGAGCAAACAGG
rnacentral:rRNA from 1 species